UCGUGAUCCGCCUGCCUUGGCCUCCCAAAGUGCUGGGAUUACAGGCAUGAGCCACCGCGCCCAGCAGGAAAGAAGCUUUCAAUUGCUGUCGGACUGAGCUAGACCCCUCGGCCAGGGAAUGAGGGGACUCCAUGGAGGUGUCGCGAGGUAUGCUGCUCAGCUGGACGUGCAGGGCCUCUGGCCCCUGAGACUGCCCUGGGGCCAGGGCAGCAGCUAUGGCCAUAUGUGCACCUACAGCCAUUGGGGUGGAGGUGGAUGACUGCUAUAGUAAAAGAAAAGAUAGGUGCCAUUACGGUCCCAAAAAAAAGAAGGAAAAUGCCAUAGAAAAGGCUGGUUUGGACCAAGGCUGACAUUCCCAAACCCCGAGAGCGAAGAAGGGACCACAGUUUCCUCUACCCUCAGAAGAAGUCCAAGGACAAGAAGGCUCAGAAACAAAAGGAAAAGAGAUUUUUUGGUCCACAUUUUACUCACCCCUCCUCAUAUGCCCGUAUGGACCACCAAAAUGAUGCAAGAUUUUUUGCUCCUUCAGCUAAAAAUCUGGGUUCUUGUCUCACAACCAAGAAAAAUUAGGCAUACAGACACAUGGAAGGGUGAGGAGGACAGAUUUAUUAGGCAAAAAGAAUGCUCUCAGAAAAGAAAGAGGGGGUCCUGCCAACAUGCACCCACAUCACAGAUUGAAUACCAGGCCACCACACAUGAGCUGAAGAGGCCUGACUCCUCCCCCUGCAUAAGGCAUGAAUUCCUGGUGGCUUUACCCCAUUCUCCCAGUGCUCAUGCAGACCCCCAGUCUGUUGCAGGCAUGCCCAGGCAAAACCCUGUGCAGGUUCCCUUUUCUGCCUCCUGCAUCUAUCAAUUACUGCUCAAUGUUUGCCUUUUUUGAAGCCAUUCGAACAGUUGUCUACAUUUGAUUGUCCAAAACUCAGUAAUUGUCACGUGUAGGCUAUGGUGUGUUUACACCUCUACUUGUUGUAUUUCACGAUGUACAGAGAUACCUUUAGGUCAAACUUAAAAUAUGUAAGGAGGCAGCUUUAGACUAAACUUGAUUUAAUGUUAUGCAGCACCCAGGUGUAUUUUUGUGGAAGGGUCGUGUAGAUAAUCGACCAUUCUACUGGGGAAGGAAGUUUUUUACUUUAUUUCUAACAAUACAGUAUUACUUAACUCACCAAAACUCAUUAGUGACCAGGCAUAGUGGCUCACACCUGUAAUUCCAGUUCUUUGGGAGGCUCAGGUGGGCAAAUGGCUUGAGCUUAGGAAUUCAAGAUCAGCUUGGGCAACAUGGUGAAACCCUGUCUGUACAAAAAAAAAAAAAAAUAGCUGGGCAUGGUGGCAUAUACCUGUAGUCCCAGCUAUCUGGGAGGCUGCAGUUGGAGGAUCACUUGAGCCUGGGAGCCGGAGGUUGCAGUGAGCUGAGGUCAUGCCACUGCACUCCAGCCUGGGCGACAAGAGUGAGACUCUGUCUCAAAAAGAAAACAAAACAAACAAACAAAAAAAGCCUUAGUAGUAAUUUAUGUUUCUUAAUUAUAUAUUUUUUCAUCUUUAUUGCUUUGAAUUUUGUUUUGAUGUUAAUGAUAGGACCACUGCAACCUUUCUUUACAUUUGCCUGAUACAUUGUUGCCUGUUCUUUCAUUUUCACUUUUCUAUGUGUGUGUGCGUGCAUAUACUUUUAGAUGCAUUUUAUAAUUGGCGUAACAUUGGAUUUUAUUAUUGACCCAAUCUUUGUCUUAAAAAGUUUAACUGUUUUUACUGAUAUAAUCAAUUAAUUAUUUCUUAAUUUUUCUACUUAUUUUAUUCAUUUUAUGUCAUCAAUUUUUUGUUUUACUGCUUUUCCCUUUAUUUUCUACCUUUUGCUAUAUGGAAUAUUUUAGUGCCCUCUGUUGUUUUGGCAGUAAUGCAUUCUAUUAAUAAUUAGCUUUAAUCUUUUCAAAGGUGUUCUUUAAAUUAUGAUUUUUAAAAUAUCAACAUCAAAGUUGUAAUAGUCCCUUUUUAUCACUUCCUAAUCAAUAUAAGGAAUUGAAGAGACUAGGCCUAUAAGUGGACCAGAGACCUAGUCGUAUUAGGUAUCCUUACCUCCCAGAGAUAGAAACGACUGACCUUUGACUCAAACUGGCCUGCUGUAUUUUUUUCAGAAAUGUAUCUGCUGUUUUGAGUCUGAUUUGUACUAGUUUAUAAGCUGAUAGUAGAGAUGGAUAUAAACAUUUUCACGGCAAGAUGCUUUGGUACCCUGACAGUUGAUUUAUAUAUUGUAGAGGGCAGCCUUGUACAGUACAUUUGGGAAUGUCACAACCACAUAAAGAUAUCUCUACCUCCCUUCUCUUUUCUCUUCCACAGACACAUAUAUUAAGGGCCCAAAUCAAGUUCUUAGAACAAUGGUUUUCAACUGUGGCUGCACAUCAUUGUAGCCUGUUGAGCUUUUAAACAUCCCAGUGACCAAACUGCACUCCAGACUAAUUAAAUUAGAAUAUCUGGGGAUGGGACCCAGAUACAUGCAGUUUUUUAGAGCUUCAAUAUUAAUUGAUUUUAAUAUGAAUCCAAGGAAGAGAACUACUGAUCUAGUGCAGAAGUCAUUAAACUAGGGUGAAAUCUGAUUCACUGCCUAUAUAUGGAAAUAGAGUUUUAUAGGAACACAACAUGUAUAUUUAUUAUUGUCUAUGGCUGUUUUCAUGCUACAAUGGAAGAAUUUAGUAAUUGUGAAAGAACCAAUUUUGCCUACAAAACCUAAAAUAUUUACCUUUUAUGGAACAUACUUGCCAACCCCAGUGUAGAGAGACUCAACGGGAUUUUUACUAUAACUCUGCAGUUUCAUUAUUAGCCAGAUGUCUUCAAGGGAAUUUUAAGGCCUGGAGUCUUGGCUUUCUGCUAAGAGAAUGCCACUACUUCUCCUGCUUUGAAAAGCUAUCUUCAUAAAGUUAAGUUUUUGUUUAUUCUAACAAACGAAAGCAAGUUUGUAUCCUUGCCUAUACUUGUUGGUGUGUAUAUCAAUUGCUAUCAUCCUUUAAUUUUUCCAAUCCAUUUUUCUACCUUUUCUGAUUUGUGAAGUUUGAACCCAUAUUAUUACUGACUUUACAGUUAAAUACUAUUAGUUAUAUAUAUUGCUUCUCUUUAAACAAUGAAUUUGACAUUUGUAUUUAAUACUUUGAUUUGCAAAACUUCUUUGACACAAUUAUAUAUGUGACUGGGUUUUGGCAUUUACCACUAUGUCACAACUUCCCUAUUCUUUUUUUUCAACUUUUAUUUUAGGUUUAGUGGGUACAUGUGCAGGUUUGUUACAUGGGUAAAUUUCAUGUCACUUGGGUUUGGUGUUUAAAUGAUUUAGUCAUUAGUCAUUUACGCCCAGAUAGUGAGCUCAGUACCUGACAGUUUUUUGACCCUCACCGUCCUCCUAACCUCCACCCUCAAGUAGGCCUCAGUUUCUAUUGUUCCCCUCUUUGUGUCCAUGUGUACUCAAUAUGACUUUCCUAUUGAACCCUUUAUUUUCUUCUUAAUUCAUUCAGGUGGAAUAUGUCUUCAGUACCUUUCUCAAGAAUUGUAUAUAUUUUCAUUUCUUCCUCUCAGCCCCAAUUAUCUUUCUUUUGUGUUAACAUAAGAAAGCUAACACAUUGAUGGAUAAUUUGAGUUUUCCCCUUUUGUAAGUAAUUUGCCUGAAAACUUCUUUGUUUGUCUUAUGUGUGUAUUUUUUUGUUGUUGAUAAUUCUGUUUUCUAUGAAUAUACCUGUUUCUGCCCUCCCUGGGAUGUAGGAAAUGCUUUCAGUUUGAUAUUUCUGUCAUCCCAACUGCCAUAAUAAAGCUCUUCUUUCUUUUUCUGGUUGUGCUCAUUGGGUUAAUUUCUGGUAGGAACUGUGCAUGGCUAAGAACUCUAUUACAGAUGUGAAUCUAAAAAACGUAUCCAGGAGGAUAGUGAAUGAUGACAGAAAACCCACUGCAGCAAACACUACCAAAGAGGAAGACUAGCACCUCUUUCAGGAGUGUAAAGCAAUAAUGUACUCUUCCAUGAAAUAGUUCACAUUUUUACCCAUUUUAAACAUCAUAUAGAUUUUUUUCUUCUUUUAUAUUCCUCUAAUUUCAUAUACCUCUACGCUUUAUGUUUAUCUGGAAGACUCUUAUCCAUAUUUUCUUCAUCCACCUUUAUAGCAUUACAUCAGUGGUUCUCUACCAUGGCUGCACAUUAGAAUCUCCUGAGGAGCCUUUGAAUACAUAUUUAUUAUAUGCAGCCCCAAUCCCACAUAGUUGGACUUGGUUAUUCUGGGAUGAGUCAUAGUAAGUAUUGAUUGGUAUUUGUCAAAAGUUUGCCAAGUGAAAUUAGCUGGGUGUUGUGGCCGGCGCCUGUAGUCCCCGCUACUCCAGAGGCUGAGGCAGGAGAAUGGUGUGAACCUGGGAUGCGGAGCUUGCAGUGAGCCGAGAUUGCGCCACUGCACUCCAGCCUGGGCGACAGAGCGAGACUCCAUCUCCAAAAAAAAAAACUUUGCCAAGUGAUUGGUUCUAAGGGGAGCCAAGAUUUAGGACUACUCUCUGCUUUUUAUGAUAAUUAACUGUCAUUUCUCCUUAGACUUUUCAAUUUAUGUCUAACAUCAACAUGCUUGUCCCCAUUAUAUUUCUUUCUUAUGGAUUCCUUUCUUAUGGAUUUUUUUCUCUAAUUCUUGUAACAAAAUUGUUGUUCCAGGAAAGUAUACCUAGUUAAUUUGGGUCUUUAUAGCCUCUGGCACCCUGCUGUUUAUGUGCCUUAGCUUAAGGAGCACUUCUUUAUUUGAUUAUGGCUUAACUUGAUUUUCAGGAAAGAGUACUGGACUCAAAGUCAAAAUCUGUACAUUUUUUUUCCUGAUUUAAUCACUCGUUAACCUUGCAACCUGGAGAAUUCACUUCACCCCAGAGCCUCCAUUUUCAUAACCUCCCUUUUAUCAGUAAAACCAUUGUUUUACUACUUAUCCUAAAGAUUUACUACUAAAAUGGGGCCAUAGGUACAAAAGUUUCUUGAACAGUUUAACAUAUUACACACAUUAUUACUGCUAGAUAGGUAUAGGGGUAAUUAUGAAUGACUUUUGACGUAUGUGAACAAGUGAAUUCAUUGGUUAAGCUUUUUUCAUAUCCUUCGUUUGCCGCUUUUUCUGUUUGACAAAGAAGAAUCUUGGGUGUUAUAUAACUGUGCUGCAACAUAAAUUCAGUUACCUCUCUUUCUUUUCUCCACCUUUAAAAAUUAUUGAGAGUUUUUCACACAACAGAUGGAAUAUAGGCAAGAAAAAUAAAGUCUAUGGUUUUCAAUGGAACUGGAAGUAGGAGGUUUUGUUUUUGUUUUUGUUUUUGACAGGCUCAUAAAAGCCACUGUCUAAACUGGGUAAAUCUUGGGUCUUUUGGCUUCCUAUACUGUACUUGUAAUUUCACAUUUUUAUUUGCAUUGUCACAUUAAAGAUAUUUCAGAUAAGAUACAGCUAUGGGUUUUAGGAAACUGGAGCAGUGUCACAAUUUCUAAAUAAUAAUUUUUUUAACUGACCUUAAAACAUUUAACUUGAAAAUUACAGGAAAUGCAUUUAUAGUUGACAUUGAUGAUGACUUACACUAAUUUUUCUGGAAAGAAAUGUUUGUAUUAAGCAGUUGAAAACAUAAUUAUAAUGGUUAUUGCACAAAGCCCAGCUUUAUAGGGUCUUAAAGAACAAAUACCACAAAUAGUUUUAGAUCAUGAUUAGAUUAAAAAUCACUGGUUUUAUUUCAUUUUUUUUUUUUGGCUACAGGAUAAAGAAAAGAUCUUAUCAGAAUAAAUUUCUCACCUGCCUUGGGCAGGAGUCAUUAGAUGUAAGCAAAUUUAAUGGAGCCUGUGUGCUCUGGGGCCAUUCAGCUGUGCUUCAAUAAUUGCAUUUUUUUUUUUUUUCAGUAUGAAGGUUGUUUAACAUAUCAAGUGGCAAAAAAAAAGUUAAAGUACAAGUUGCCUAUUUAUCUUUCAGACUGGAUUUCGGUCUUCUAUCCACAAUCUUCUAGGAUCCAGCUUCUGUUCAAUCAGUGUUUUGAUUUUGCAACUCUAACUCGUAAAUAUUACACACCAAAGUAACAGCUAAGAUAAAACAGCGUUAACAAAAUAUUAUUCAUAUUAGGAACAGAUUUUUUCAUUACAGAUAUCCUUUCAAUAUUGAAUUCUGUUUGAUAUUUAAAAUGUAAUUUAAUUCCCUUAUAUAGUUUUUCAGAGACACAUCUCUUUAGGAAAGAUACCAUAUUCUGUAUAUCUAUAAAAAUGUGUGUAUGUAAGGGUGGUAAGAUAAAACAAAUGACUUAAUAAUUAACCCAUAAUUACUUAAACAAAUGGACCUAAUAUGAAGUUGAUAGUAGGUCAGUAUCAACAUGGGAAAAGGACCCUACUGACGUAUUAUAUCAUUAUUUCUUUAUUCAACACUUUUCACUCUUUUAAACAGCUAUUUGAAUGAGCACUUGAAGGGCAUGCUGAUGAAAUUUGCAAGUGACACAGUUGUUAUUGAAAUAGCUAAUACUUUGAAUAAUAGAAUCAGAAUUCAGAUUCAUAUUAAAUGAUUGGAAUUAGGGACUAAAAAUGACGAGGUAAAACAAAAUAGAGGUAAAUAUAAACAGUUCUGAAUUUCAGUCCCUAAAACCAACAUUGUAAAAUCAAAUGGGAGAGAUAUUGCUAAACAAUAGCACUGAAGAGAAAAGUCAUAGAGGUUUUAUGACAGUAUGCUUAAUAUGUGUCUGUGGUACAUUGUGGCUGCCAAAGCAGCUAAGGAGAUCUAAGGGGUUCUAUUAACAGAGUUAAUGUGGAACAUUGUGUUUUGUUAUAGGUACCUUUAUUUAAGAAGGUUGUGGCUGUAGUAAUUUAAGGAAAAGGCAGUAUUCUGUAAACAAUUGGAUCUCAAUUCUGUGCAAAAGUCAUUCAUAGAAAAAAUCCUGAAAACUAAAAUGAUAAUGUAUUAGCAACAUAUCUUCAGAAAUUUUAUAAUAUGAAAAACUUAAAUUUUCUUUUUUAUGUUUUUCUAUAUUUCCUACAAUUAACAGAAAUUGCUUUUUGUAAAAGGGAAAGAUUGCAUAAAAGUGGGACACAGAAACAAAUGUAAUUCGGUGAGUAGAGAGUGACCAGAACAAUGAAAGGACAAGCAAGUGGUACCAUAUGAGGGCUAUUUAAAGGAGCUAUAUAUUUAGCCUGAAGUAAAGGCAGCAGGUUACUGGGCCAACGAGAAUGAGGAUUUUUAUAGCAAUUCACAAUGUUUGAAAGUCCACUGGUACUUUCUUUGGCUUCAGAGGACAAUUCAAAGAGCAAGUGGAAGUUAUACAGUGAAACAGGUCUUAGCGUGUGUGGCAUAGAAACUUUCUAACAUUUGGAGCUCCCAAAUUGUGACCCAGGAGAUUGCCCCAGGCCCAUGGGUAGAUUUCUUCAAGAUUCUACUGCAUGUCCCUUGUUUUUUUCCUGUAUAAUACUGCUUCUUUGACAGAAGAGUUAAUUGGAGUGUGUAGAACUGUUUUAGCUGUAGACUAAGUUUGCUUUUUGGAGAGAAAUUCCAUUCUUCCUUGAUGGCUUCUGGCUCCACCCUUAAAGGAUGAAGAUUUGCCUCCAUUAGAUAAUUUCAAAACAAUAUGCAACUGGCUCUGAAGACAGUUUUAUAGAAAAAUUUUUAGAAGUAGUUUGAUCCAGGGCAUCAAACUAUUGGAUAAGCUAUAUACUAUUGGAUAAGCAUAUAGUAUUCAAAGGUGACAACUUCAAAGGAGACAGCCCUCAUUUAAAUACAUAAAAAAACUGUCUUAUUACUUUAUCACUUGUUAGUUUUCAUUAAAAUUUGAUGCUUACACAGACACAGUGAUGAGAAAAUUAAACUCGUGUGGCUUUCCGAUUCUAUUUGAUACAUAAAAAUCUUGCUGCAUGCUUAUUAUGCCAUUGCCUCCUGGUCUACUUUCCUUCUUGGUUUGGGAGCUCAUCUUCCCUUCCAUAUUCUUAGGCUGCCUCUUGUCUGCAGUGAAAUUCCUUUUUUGUGUAUUUUUUCUUUUUUUUAAUUUGAAGGUGAUCUAUGCUUCUGGAAGAGGUAACCCCAUUGUAGGGAAGAAAAGAAAGAGAAAUUGUCCCUGAAACUUUGUUUUCAUUACUUAGCAAGUUUUACAGUUAAUGACAGAAGUUUCUCCUGUGGCCUUUCCUUCCAAAGACUGUGCUUAUUUAUUUUCCCCAAUACUCUCAUGUGACCUUGUUUAAAGCUUCAUGUAAUUCCCAAAUAAAUUACAUUUACUGGUUUACUUCUAUCUAGUAUUUUAUUGACAUUUCCAGAUAAGUUUAAUAGGAUGGAGAGAAACAGUGUUCUCUUUAUAGACUCAGUGGGCAAUUUGACCUUAGCAGGUUAACCUUAUCCUGAUGUUGAAGGAAGCUAUUCUUAAUUAGACUCUAUCAGUUUCUCCAUUAUCACCAAGAGAGCCUCUGGUCUGUAAUUCCAUAAAAUCUUAAUUCGAUUAUUUUUCUUUCUGAAAGAAAAGCUUCAUAUUAGCAAAAUCGCAAUAUUUGGAAAUACUUGCUUGUUUUCCAAAUACAUUGCAUAUCCUCAUCUGUAGCUCAGCCAUUUCACACUUUAUUUCCUUCAGAAACUCUCAGUUGAAUACCAUCUGGCCAUGGUGAUUUAUUGCUGUGGAAUUUCUCAAGUUGCUCUAUUAUUUCCUCCUAGGAGAUUGCUCUCUACUACUACCCCACUGUUUUUCUCAGAAAGUGCCCUUGGAAUAGUCGUUUCCUCACUCUCCUGUACAGCAGAGGUCAAUGCAAAAUAAAACUAAACUAAACUUCUCUGCUUCUUACAUCCUCUAAACCUCACAUCCUCUUUACUUGCUGUCCUCAUUACCAGAGGAGAAACUCAGCCGUUAGUCCUACCACUCAUGGUGUCUAUUUAGUCCUUGUGUUUCCUUUUGUCUUUUUUUUUAUCUUUUUUUUUUUUUAGAUUCUUUCUUCCCCUGACAGUACAUUUUUGGUAUUUAAUUCAGGGGGAAAAAUGUCAUGUUAUAAGAUGUUUUAGAUAUUUUCAACGUGUUCAUAAAUGUCUCUAUGGAAUUGUUUCAAGGUUGUUUUUUUUUUUUUAAACCAUCCACAAAUUUCUCUUUUGACCUUUCAGAUAAUGUCACAGUAUAUAUAUCUCUCAUGGCCAGUGUCCUUAUAUGUCUUCCUAGAAACCUGGAUGGUUCUUUAAACUUUUUACUUUUCUCUCAGAGGGCUGCUAACCAGAUUUUUUCUUCAGAUUUUUAACAUAUACUUUUUGAAGUCUCACCUUUUGGGUUAACAUUAAGAGAUGCCCAUACCAAUUAGAACAUGAGCUUGAAUUGUGCAGCCUUCCCAAUUUCUGAGUUCUACUCCUACACAUACUAACCUGUGGUAAUUCCUAUAUUUUACAUUAAUCUUAUUCCUCUUUCAUACCUGCCCCAAUAAGCCAAGAUAAGGUAUGUUAAUUAAUGCUUCUACACAUCGUGUUCUUCUGUCAUUUAUUUGGCUAAUAAUGGACAUAAUUAAAAUCAUUCAUUGCAAUAACCUUCUUAGAAAAGAAUGCUGAACAGUAAAGGUUAAAAGCAAUUUGUAUUAUUCUUUUAUAUUCUAUAGUUAACAUUUUUACACCUGAACUUUGUUCAAAUAAUUAUUUUGUUUAAAAAAGGUUACUUAAUGUGCUUUCAAGUAGAGUUAAUUGUGAUUUGAAUAUAUUUCUACCUUUAUGCAAAGUACCUUAGCAGAGAAUUUUUGAAUUUUAUAACUGAAGUAUUGAAACAUCGAAAGUUGAAACUUUCAAAACUCCCAACAUGUGUUGUAAAUUAUCUACCAUUUUCAACUUAAGAAAAAAAAAGAGUUAAAUACAAAUUUCGAGUACUGUAUGUGUGAUACAGUCUUUCCUUAAGUUUCAAAUACAAAUACCAGUAGUCACACAGCCACCUGAAGAGAGUCUCUAUUUGCUCAGUUUAUAAAGGGGAGUAACAGAUUAUAACAGCAGGGGAAGGAAAUGCUGGUUUUGCUUAUUUUAUUGCUAGCAUAUCAUUUUCUUCACUGGGUAAGGCAGGCUGUCCUAAAAGUAACUUAGGCAUAUAACUUUUUGGUGCUGGUUAUAUGGAUAGGAUAUAUAUGGAUAUAUGAGAUAUAUAUAUAUAUAUAUAUGUCAUGUCAUAUAUAUAUAUAUGAUAUACAUGGAAAGGAUGUCUUUCUUGAAUUUUGGAAUAGAUUGAGUCUAUCCAUCCCAAAGCUACUUUGUACACACACCCAUACACACACACACCCAUACACACACACACAUACACACACACUUCCAUAUAUAUCUUAUAUAUGGAUAUGUAUGUACAUUAGAUAUGUAUAUAGGUAUGUUUUAUACAUAUAUAUUACCUGCCAAGAAAUAUGCACUAUAUCGUAAUUCUAAAAUUUGUCUUUCUACCUGUAUCUCAACCAAUGGCUCCAAUUUCUUCUGAUCUUUAAAAAAUAUGUUAAUUGUAAUAUUUACAAAUAAAUAGGAAAAGAUUCUAUUUUAAUGAAUGCUAGUAUGAAAGUUAACCCUCUGUAGUAAAACAUAUGGCUCUGUCAGGCAACUUACACUAUAAUAGCUUUCAUGAUAAUAUGUAACAGUUAAUUAAAAACUCCUUCUGAAAAGGUAAACCAGCAAGUGUUUUUCUGUUUCUCUAUGUAGUAGUCAGAUUAUUUAAUGGCUGUACUGUCCAGGAGGAUAUUUGUACCUUAAUACAAAUACCAUUUCUUACUUGGCAUGAUUGGAAAGUGAGACAUACUAUCUUAGCUGAGAGCCCAACAUUUAUGUAUUAAAACUUCUUGGAGCAAGGGUAUGUUAUAACAUUUGCAGGGCUUGUCCUCCAGUGAAUUGUCUUAUAGAAAAUACUACUUGUAUUGGUUGCUGUCUCAACUAUAUGUGAGUACAUUUGCAGAAAUGUACGUAGGUCACAUUCAGUUUAAUUUUACAUGAGAACCAGAUAAGGAAUUCUAUCUCACAACACAGGGUCUGAAGGAGGCUGUAAUCAGGGUUCUCCAAAGUUUCCUGUACUUUCUUUUCUAGCAAGUUAUUCUUGUACUGGAGAAGUCAAAGGACAGCUUUUUCUAUUAAUUUGAUUCCAUCUUCACUCAAGCAGGAUUAAGUUCAAGUCCUAGGUAUAUUCAUAGUAUUCUUUCCCAGUUUUUCAGUCCUGAUAUAUUCUUCUCCUUUAUUCAGUAAUCUUUUCAGUGGUGUUUUCAAUUGGGAAGAGAAGAAAAGGAAAGAAUUAGAUGCCAGUGCUUAUAUAACCAUCUUGCCCAGAAGUAUUAUUGAAGGAUUUUGAAAUAGAAAAUUAUCAGAUUACAGUACAAGGCAAGGAUGCCCACUCUUGCCACUUAUAUUAAACAUUGUACUAGAAAUCCUAGCCAGAGAAAUUAAGCAAGAAAAAGAAAUAAAAGACAUUCAAAUUAGAAAGAAGAAAGCAAAAUUAUUUCUACUUACAGAUAAUAUCAUACAUAUUGAAAAGACUUGACAAAAAAAAAAAUCCUGUUAGAACUAAUACAUAAAUUCAGUAAAGUUGCAGAAUAUAAAAUCAGCAUACAACAAUCAGUAGCAUUUCUAUAUGCAAAUAACAAACUAUCUGAAAAGGAAAUCAAGAAAACAGUCACAUUCACAAUAGCGACAAGAAGAAUAAAAUAAUUAGGAAUAAUCUUAACCAAGAAGUGAAAGUCUUGCACACUGAAAAUUGUAAAAUAUUGCUGAAGGAAAUUUAAAAAGUCAAACAUUAAUGGAAAUACAGCCAUAUUCUUGGAUUGAAAUAAUUAAUAUGUUAAAAUGUUCAUAUUACCCCAAGUGAUCUACAGAUUCAAUGUAAUCCUUAUCAAAUUCUCAAUGGCAUUCUUUAUAAAAAUAGAAAAAAAAAUCCCAAAAUUCAUAUGGAACCACAAAAGACCACAAGUAGCCAAAUUAAUCUUUAGGAAGAAGAACAAAGGAAUCAGUUUCUGAUUUCUAAACAUAUUAUAAAGCUAGGGUAAUGAAAACAGAAUGGCACUGGCAUAAAAACAAGUAUAGAGACCAAUGGAAUAGAAUAGAGAGCCUAGAAAUAAAUGUACACAUCUAUGGUCAACUGAUCUUCCACAGGGGUGCCAAAACAUACAAUGGGAAUGGAUAGUCUUUUCAAUAAAUGGUGCCAGGAAAAUUAUCCAUAUCUACAUGUGGAAGAAGUGGACCCUUAUCUCACACCAUAUACAACUCAAAAUAGAUUUAAAACCCUUAUCUCACACCAUAUUCAACUCAAAAUGGAUUUAAAACUUUAAUGCAAGACCCAAAAAUGUAAAACUCCUUGAAGAAAACAAAGGAAAAAAUCUUGUCAUUGGACUGGACAAUGAUUUUUUUUUAUAUGACACCAAAAACACAGGCAAGAAAAGCUAAAAUAGACAUAUAGGAUUGCAUCAAACUAAAAAGCUUCUGCACAGCAAAGGAAAGAGCAGAGUGAAAAGGCAACCUGGGGAGUGAAAAACAAUAUUUACAAAUCCUAUAUAUGUUAAGGAGUUAACAUUUAAAAUAUAUAAGGAACUCAUGCAACUUCAUAGCAAAAAGACAAAUAACUUUGUUUUAAAAAGGGCAAAGGACUUGAAUGGACAUUUCUCCAAAUGAGACAUACAAAUGACAAACAGGUAUAAGAAAAAGUACUAAAUUUCACUAAUCAUCAGGGAAAUGCCAAUCAAAACCACAAUGAGGUAUCACGUCACACCUGUUAGAAUGAGUAUCAGAAAAGUGAAAGAUAAGUGUUGGAGAAAAGGGAACCCUUGUAUACUGUUGGUGGGAAUGUAAAUUGGUACAGCCAUUAUGGAAAACAGUAUGGAGAUUCCUCAAAAUUUUUAAAAUGUAACUACUGUAUGAUCCGGCAAUCACACUUCUGAGUAUAUACCCAAAGGAAAUUAAAUCAAUAUCUCCAAGAGAUAUCUGCACUCACAUGUUUAUUUUAGCAUUAUUCACAAUCACUAAGAUAUGAAAACAGCCUAAGUGUAUAUCAAUAGAUGAAUGUCUAAAGAAAAUGUGGUAUAUUUAUACAAUGAAGUAUUAUUCAACCUUUAAAAAGGAAAUCUAACCAUUUUCAACAACACGGAUGAACCUGGAGGACCUUAUACUAUGUAAAAUAAACCAGAUACAGAAAGACAAAUACUGCAUCGUAUCACUUAUAUGUGUGAUCUAAAAAUGUCAAACUUAAGAAAUAAAGAAUAGAAUGGUAGUUACCAGAGGAUGGAGAGGAGGAUUUGGGAAGAUGUUGAUUAAGGGGUACAGAGUUAGUUAUGCAAGAUAAACAAGUUCUGGAGAUCUAAUGUACAACAGUGUGUCUAUAGUUAACAACACUGUGUUGUAUACUUGAAAUUUGCUAAGAGGAUAGAUCUUAAGUGUUCUCACAACACACACACAAAUGGUAACUGUGUGAGGAGAUGGGUAUGUUAAUUUGCUUGAUUGUGGUGAAUAUUUUACAGUGUUUGCAUAUAUAAAGUCAUCAAGUUAUACACCUUAAAUAUGUACAAUUUUUAAUUCUCAACUAUAUCUCAAUAAAGCUAAUGGGGAAAGAAAAUGACCAGACCAGAUUUGCAUUUUGAACAUUUCAUUAUUACUAUGAGUUCAUUAGAAUCUGGUAUUCCUCAAGGUUUUUUCCUGUAUCUUCUCUUCUCAUUUCAUCUAUUCUUCUUGAGAUUUCACUUCAUGGCUUCUGUUUCUAUAUACCAAAAUCUAAUUAGAUAACUCUUCUCUGAUGAUUCAUGGGAAACUUAAAUACAUGUCAAUUUUAACACAAUUAAUAUUGAAUUCACCCUUUAUUGUCCUUCCCAAACCUUCAUCUAUUUGGUUUAUAUAUAUAUAUAUUUGAAGGAAUAACACUUGGUGCCACCAUCUUUUAAUUUGCUCAAAGCCAAAAACCUGAGACUCAUUAUUCCCUUUUCUGUCUCCUGUAUUCCCCACAUCCAAUUCACCGGUAUUAUAUAUCUUACCUACCAUAUGCUGCUCUAAAAUCUGUUCUCUUCUAUACUAAUGCUUUGUCUAUUACAUCCUCUCUCAUCUAGUCUAUUGCAGCACCUUGUUUAUUUGCCUUCUUACCUUCAGUCUUAUUUUCUACCAAGGAACUUGACUGAAGCUGGAAUGAUCUUUUCAGAAGUCAAAUUGGAUCAUAUCAUUGUUUUGUUUGAAUUUCUCAGUGUUCUUUGUGACCUUACUUUCAAGCAUAAACUCCUUAAAAUGAAACAGAAGGCUAUAUAGGACCUGGCUUUUGUCUACAUUUUUAGCUUCAACUCUUCCACCUUCAGACACUCUCUACUCGAGCUUCUUUCAGUUUCCAGUACUCAUCAUCUUGAAAACUGAUAAGAAAGAUUAGGAAAAUGUUUCAGGAAUAAAUAUUUCAAAUCCCUUCUUUUAAAAAAAUUCUCUGUGUUCCACACAUCUUUCACUUAUUAUUUGUUCUGUACACCCCAAAAACUUUACAGUAAUUUUUAAUGUACAAAAAAGGGGUAUUUGAGCUAUCACCAGCAGUUAUUAUCAUUAACUGCAUAACUAUACUUAAUAUUUUUUAUUGAUCAUUUAUUUCAUGUAUGCCAUUGAUCUUAAAAGUGAAUCUAUAAAAUAUCUAAGUCUACUUUGUGUUACACAGAAGUAAAAUAUCAGCUCAUAGAUUUUAGAAUAUUUCUGGCCUUGUAAAAUUAGUUUAGAAGUAUUCCCUCUUCUUCAAUGUUAGUUUUCUUGAAAGAGUUUGAGAAACAUUGCUAUUAGCUCUUUAAAUUUUUGGUAGAAUUCAGCCAUGAAGUUAUCUGAUCCUGGGCAUUUGUUUGAUGGGAGACUUUUAAUGACUGAUUCAAUCUCAAUAGUUAUUCUUGGUCUGUUCAGAUUUCCAGCUUCUUUGUGAUUCAGUCUUGGUAGGUUAUAGGUUUCUAGGAAUGUAUCCAUUUUGUCUAGAUUGCCCAAUUUGUUGUUAAAUACAGUUUAACUGUAUUUAACUGUUGUUAAUAAUACAGUUGUUUAUAAGUAGUGUCUUAUGAUCCUUUGUAUUUCCGUGUUACCGGUUAUAAUGUCUCCCCUUCCAUUUCUGAUUUUAUUUAUUUGAGUCCUGCCCCUGUUUUUCUUAGUCUAGCUAAGGGUUUGUCCCUUUUAUUUAGCUUUUCAAAACAGCUCAGUUUUAGGCCAGGCACAGUGGCUCACGCUGUAAUCCCAGCACUUUGGGAGGCUGAGGCUGGCAGAUCACAAGGUUAGGAGUUCGCGACCAGCCUGGCCAAUACGGUGAAACCCCGUCUCUAUUAAAAAAUACAAAAAUUAGCCAGGCAUGGUGACACAUGCCUGUAGUCCUGGCUACUCAGGAUGCUGAGGCAGGAGAAUGCUUGAUCCCAGGAGGCGGAGGUUGCAGUGGGCUGAGGUCGUGCCACUGCACUCCAGCCCGGGCAACAGAGCGAGACUGUCUAAAAAAUAAAAUAAUUAAAAUAAAAUAAAAUAAAACUCUGUUUUAUUGAUUUUUGCAUUGUUUUGCCAGGCUCAAUUUUAUUUAUUUAUGCCCUAAUCUUUGUUAUGUCCUUUAUUCUGCUAUCUUUGGGCUUGUCUUCUUUUUCUAAUCCUUUGAGCUAUAAUGUUAGGUUGUUUAUUUGAGAUCCUUCUUCCUUUUUGAUGUAGGCAUUUAUUGCUACAAACUUCCCUCUUAGAACUGCUUUUGCUGCAUCCCAUAAAUUUUGGGAUAUUGUGUUCGCAUUUUUUUUGUCUCAAGAUGUUUUUUAAUUUCUCCUUUAAUUUCUUCUUUGACCCAGUAAGAUAGGGUCAUAUGCUCCUUCAGGAGCAUAUUGUUUAAUUUUCACACACUUCUCAAUUUUCCAUGAUUCUUCCUUUUAUUGAUACCUAGUUUCAUAGCAUUGUGGUUGAAAAAGAUACUUGACAUGAUUUUAACCUUAAAUGUGUUAAGACUUUUUUGUGGCCAAACAUAUGAUCUCUCCUGGAGAAUGUUUCAUGUGCACUUGAGAAGAAUUUCUCUUCUGUUGCUGUCGAAAGGAAUGUUCUGUAAAUAUCUAUUAGGUUCCUUUGGCCUAAAGUAGUUCAAGCCCAAUGUUUCCUUAUUGAUUUUCUGUCUGGAAGUUUUAUCCAAUGUUGAUAGUGGGGUAUUGAAUUUCCUGCUAUUAUUGUGUUGCAGUCUAUGCCUCUUCAGACUUGUUUGCUUUAUGUAUUUAUGUGCUGCAAUGUUGGGUGCAUAUAUAUUUACCAUUGUUUUAUCCUCUUGAUGAAUUGGAUUCUUAAUCACUAUAUUAUAACCUUUAUUGUCCUUUUUACAGUUUUCGACCUAAAACCUAUUCUGUCUAAGGUUAGUAUAGCUAUCUUUGCUCUUUUUGUUUCUAUUUGCAUGGAAUAUCUUUUUUAUUAUUAUUAUUCCUUUAGUCUAUAAGGGUGUUUUAAGGUGAACUGAGUCUCUUGUAGGCAGCAUAUAGUUUGGUGCUCACUUUUUCAUCCAUUCUGCCUCUCUAUAUUUUUGAUUGGAGAAUUUAAAACAUUUACAUUCAAAGCAAAGAAGUCACGUGUUGAGAUAACUCAUAACACAACCUCUAAGAGCUGUAAGCAUUUAAGUCUAACUGUAGAAAUGGAAAAUCUGAAAACUUGAAAUAAGGUCCUUCCUGAGAUAGUCACUUUCAUAUAUGUAAGCUCAUUUUUUUAGAGAUUAUAUGACCAGUCUUCUUAUCUGUUCUUUUAAAUAAAAAUUCUGUCAUUUUAUUUCUAAAAAUAAUUAUAGAAUAAUGGUGUGUUCAGUGGGAGUCUGGGAACAAAUAAAAAUCAUAUUUACCCACAAAACAAUUCGAGUUUUAAAAAUGGUAUCUACUUGUUCUGUUAGCCAGUAAGCCUGGUAGAGAUAGGAAGAGAUUUCAAGAGUGUGUGUGUGUGUGUGUGUGUGUGUGUAUGUGUGUGUGUUUUAGUUUGAAAGGUACAUGAGGUAUUCAGUUCUUGUAUCCAGUGGAUUUAUCAAGAAUUAUAGACAGACUAGAAAUUGCUUCUCAGAGUGAUUAUACCUUUUCUAAUAUCACCUACUGAUUUUACAGUAAAACUCUAGGCUACAAAGGUUGAGAUGAGAACACAAUUCACUUUACUUGACUCUUAAAAAUAGCAUUGUUAACCAUUUUGUGAUGUCUCUCUCUUCAUGUAUUGGGCUGUACUGAAGAGAUAAACCUCCACUUGCUUUCAUGACAUAGAUAAUAAAUUGAUAUAAUUCAGCUGAGAAGUUGAAAAAUGCAUUGAAAAUAAUGGAGCAUAACAUUGUAGGGUUAACAUUUAUUCAUAGAUGAUGCAAUUAAAUAAAACAGGCAUUAACUUCAAGGUCAGUAAGUAAAGUAAUAAAAUUGAAUAUUUUAAUUGAAUUGUAAUUGCUUCCCAUUGAUACAUGCAAGUAAAGUAAAAUAGAUGUCAGCUCUGCAAAUUAUGGUUCUUCCUCCUAAUUAAUUUCUUAAUUCUGCAUGGAGUUAUCAGUGCCUAGGUCUUGUGAGUUUAUUCAUCCACCCAGCUUCCAUCAAGGAAUGUCUGUAUGACAUGAUGAAAUGGCUAGGUGUCAGAGUUUACAGUAAAUUUUUUCUGCACUUUGGCAAAAAUAUUGUUAGUAACUCAAAGUAAUAUAUUCAUGUAUUAGAGUUAAAAUGUACUUUAACAUCAUCAUGGAUCCUAUGGAUUAUAAUCUUCAUUAAUAUUGAUAUUUCUUGAUAUUGAUAUUUAUGUCAACAUUAACUAAUGUAAUUGUCUCAGUGAUUAUAAAGGUUUUUGUAGGGAGAUAUAUACAUAAAGACUCACAUUCCAUAAUUAACUGGCUCAAGCGGUAAAUUGUACUGACCGCUGGGAUUUUGGUGAAGCACAGUUUGUGUCUGUUCACGACCCAAGCUUUACUAGAAAAGAGACACCUAAAUUGAAUAAAUUUAAAAAAGAAAAAUCUUUUCCAAGGACUGAGGUAAAUCGAAGCUUUUAGAUAAAGUUGAAUUGCAUUGAAAAAGCCCAUGAGCUGUUGUGGCUUUUUCAGAGGCUUUUAAUAGCUCCUCCAAAGGUUUUAAUGUAAUGCAGUUUUAUGUAAAAUAAAAUGAGAAUGAUGAUAUUACAAAGAUUAAGAGAGAUUUUUAAAGCAUACUGAAAUUGUAUUGGGUCUAGAUACUAGGGUUUAUUUAAAGAAAAAGAAAAUUGUGCCUUUUGGACCAGCUGCAUUUACCAGUUAAAUGGCUACUGCUUAGAAAUUGAAAAUGGAAUGGAUAUGUAAGAUGGAUUUUAAAUUUACUGAGAUAUUAUUAUAUAUUCAUAUACUUUAAAAUGAUUUUAUAGGAUAGAAUUAUUUCAGUGCAAAUAUAUUGGUAUAUUAGCAUCAUUCUUCAGUUGUGCUUAGAAACGUAAGUGGGUUCUUCUUGUUGGUAAAGUAAAUAGAGAUGUUGUGAUGUCUAGCUUUUGUGUUAAAAUUUAACUCAGACAUUGACUUUUUUUAAAAUGUUUCUCUCUGAACCAUUUAAAACAAAAAUCUAAAGUAAGUCUAUUGAGAAAUAUAUUUUAUUGAUGCUAAUAUGACCCUGACCUUCCAUUCUCAAUUAAGAAGGAUCAUUCAGAAAUCUUUGUGUGUUAUCAUCUAGUUAGAAAAUACUAAAACCAAAAUACAUAAAAUAAAAAACUAAAAUCUUAGAGCUUCAUAAUUAUAGAUAAGCUAACAAUUUUUCACACUAAAAAGAUCUGUUUUUUCAGAUCUUUGUUUUAAAAGUAUUUUAAUAAUUACCUUAUUCCAUUUAGGGAAAUGAAAGUAAAUAUUAUAAGCGCUGUACAUACAAUGCUUAGAUGUUAGUAAAUGAGGAAACUUGUGGAAUAUGUGGAAGUGCAAGAAAAUUAAGUAUUCAAUCUUUAUACUUAUAAAAACAAUUACUAUGAGUUUUGUUUUCAUGUAUUAAUAGUUUGAUAUUUAUGGAAUCAUUGGUAUGCUAAGCAUUAAAGAAUUUCUUGAGGAAACUUCUAUAUCUGAAUAUAUUCUGGAGUAGGAUGAAUAAUCUUCCUACAACAUCCCUAACAUCCCUAAUAUCACCCGGUGCAUAAUAGUUUCAGAUGAUUUAGAAGAGAUCUCAAAGAUCAGGGUGGCUUCAGGCCGUUGCUUUUGCAAGGACGGUAGCUGGAAUUGCUAGGAAUCUCUGGAUUUUAUCCAAGAAAAUAUAUUCUAUGAACAGUCUGCAGUACAUGGCAUAUGGACAGUGAUCAUGAGGUCCCC